rnacentral:rRNA from 1 species
CCGGCACGGUGAGGUAACACGUAUCCAACCUGCCGUCUACUCUUGGCCAGCCUUCUGAAGGAAGAUUAAUCCAGGAUGGCAUCAUGAGUUCACAUGUCCGCAUGAUUAAAGGUAUUUCCGGUAGACGAUGGGGAUGCGUUCCAUUAGAUAGUAGGCGGGGUAACGGCCCACCUAGUCAACGAUGGAUAGGGGUUCUGAGAGGAAGGUCCCCCACAUUGGAACUGAGACACGGUCCAA